AGAUGGUGACGGUCACACGGGCCGAUCGCCAUCUGAGGCGUUGAUUUGUUUUCUGCAAACGUGAGUCUGGGAGUUUCAAAUGGGUGUGUUUUCCGACGUGCACUAACUGUUUGUAAAACUUCCAAACCCAUACGAAUAUCACUUCCCUCCAGCUUUCUACCGUUUUGCUUUCUUUACUGUGGCCUGCUCUUACCUCAAUUGCACAAAUCUUGGUCUCAGCGAAGGAUCUAGGCCCGAAACGUCAGCUUUCCUGCUCCUCUGAUGCUGCUUGACCUGCUGUGCACAUCCAGCUGCACACCGUGUUAUCUCGGAUUCUCCAGCAUCUGCAGUUCCGGUUAUCUCAGCGACUCUGCACCGCACUCGUGGAUGAUCACGUGGUUUUCACUGAUCCCGCCCUCCCUUCAUUCCGAUUGGGCGAUAUCCGUCCGGUCAUGCACGGCACACCUGUGCUCCUAUUGGUCGCGCACUGACAUCAAUCAGCCAGACUUCACCGUGAGCUGGAGCAUGCGCAGUGCUUUGUGUUAUUGUUGGAAGCAAAUGAACGUCGUCGCAAUGUUGCAUUUUGAGACGAAUGAGACUGAAAACCGGAUCUGUCUUUUUACCUUCACAGAUGCUGCCAGACCUGCUGAGCUUUUCCAGCAACUUUGUUUUUGUUCCUGAUUGACAACAUCCCAGUUCUUUUGUUAUUUUUUAAUAAGUCGCGAUUGAAAAGGCUUCCUGCAGCUCAAAGCUAAAGGUUUGACGAUACUUCACCUUUCUCAUUCCUCAGACUCCAACCCACUUUGAUUCUGAAAGAUUUGACUGUUGUUUCCGGUCAGUCAGCUUGCCGAAGCAGUCAGAUUUCCGUCAUACUACUCAGAAUAAAAAUGGCAUCAGGAGAUGAGCUUCCAUCCCAUCUCACUGUCGAUACCCCCAACGUUCAAAUUCUUAACUCUGAGACCUCAAAAAGACUCGUCGAAAAUUUUGUAAUCGCUCUCAUGAACAAGGAGCGUUUCUACAUCCGCACAUUCUUUUCGACAUACAAAGCAUAUACCACUGCUGAAAGUGUGUUGUACAUCCUCCUGGACAAAUAUGGAAGCUUUGACACCUCAGAGGCAGAAGAGAUUCCAGUAAUCGAUUCAGUGAGCACAAAGUAAGCUUCAGUCUAAUGUGUGACUUAAUUAAGUUUCAUCCAAAAUACAACAAUGUUAAAAAACCUGCUGGCACUUCCUGUAAGAUCUAUGGAGGGCCUUCCUCCCACAGCAAUGCAGCAAACACUGGACAGCAGCAGUCACAUUAACAAAGUUGCUUGAUUGUAUCAAAAAUCUACACAGAUUUUGUUUGUUUAAAAAGAAAAGUUGUAUCAACAGAAAAGAUCCAAAAGUGUUCAGUGAAAAAUUGCUCAUCCAUUCACUAUUCAGAUCUCCAUUUGUCACCAAACAUUUAGAUAGCUGAGCUCUGAAUUAAGGAUACAACAUGUUGAAGAAUUGAGGUUCCUACCUUCUCCCCUCCCCUCAGUCUGCCUGUGGUGUCUUUCAAAUCUCCUGUGAAGGUUUUGAAGAAAAACCUACUCGCAGUACAUCUGGAGGGUGAUCUAUUUUAUAAAAACAGUUGACCAAGAAUGAAAUCGAGGCAGAGCUGCAAUCUUUUCUUUGCUGUCAUUACGGUUGGUAUUGCUGAGCUGAGACAAAAGAGAUCUGCAGGCCAAUGUCCACUGUAGGAGUUGAGGAGCUCCAAUAUUUGCCAGAGAGACAGACAUGUGCAGCUCUGAGCUGGUGACUUAAUUCAUGCCCAGUGCGUCGUUAAGCCGGCUACUUUGCCCACCGCUGACAAUACAGUAUAAUGGUGCAGAAGAGAGUUCAGCUUUCCUCCUGAACUCCCCUCCACUUUACCAGGAAUGUCAUGUCUCAGGCCAAGGCCAGUUGACUUGGGACAUUCAGCCCUGUAUGUACAGACAGUAUCUGAAGUUCUUCAUUGGAAAGUUGGUUGCCCUUCUAUAUUUGGGCCAGGAGCUCUUUGUUUGAGAUAUUUUUAGACUUUACAACAAAUAUAAAAUGUUGAAGAUAUGAAUCUGUUACAUCCUUCUGUCCCUCUCUCUGUCUUUACAACCACACUCCAGUCUCACGGUCUUAUCCUGUAAACUAUCGUUCAGGGUUUUGGGGAGACCAAUGACCAUAUUCUGUAGUUGCGUCUUGACCCGUUGUUAGAAAAUUAGCUCUCAAUGGCAUGAAAUGCCGACUCAAUGUCUUUCAGGUGUAUGGAGAUAAUUUUCUUGUGGAUGUGGAUGUUUCCUCAAAUUUACUUGAUAACACUUUUAGGACCAUUUGCAGAUCACCUGACGGUGCAAACUACAAGGUAGAUGGGAAACCAUGCUCUCUAAAAUCUGUCAUGAAAGAGUAAAUUUGAAUACAAUAUGUGGUUAAGGUUUGCUUUAUUCAGAGCACAAGGAAUACAAAGGAAACUACCGAUGAGCUAAGAAUUACUGGGUACAAGUGUUUGUUUAAAAUGACAUUCUUCACAACUAAUUUCAGCAGCGGAAACAAUGCUAACAUUCCGAGCUGUGAGGAGCUUGAAAAUCCAAUUCCUCUAGAGACAGUUGCUGAGAUCAGAAAGUAAGUAUUGAUCCAAUGCGUGAGGAAAUGAUGCUUGAAUCAGAAUACAACUAUGUGAAGGGCAAACUCUGGAGGCCGCCAUUUUCAGGAACAUUAUUUAGAGACUUUCUCCUGAAACUUAGCAGCAUCUGUGGUGAGAAAGCAGAGUGGGCAUUUUGAGUUGAGGUUCCCAUGUUCAGAACUUCGCAUCUCUGAAGACGUGUCGCUUGGCUCAACUUGAACUCUGUUUUCUGUCUGUAGAUGCUGCAAAACCUGUUGAGUUUCUCCAGCAAUGUCUGCUUUUCUUUCAGCUUGUCGGCUUCUGUAGUUUGUUCUUUUACAUUAAAGAAACAGUUGGCUGUUGUUCUAAUAUUUGCUCUGUUCUUAGUGUUGUAAAAAGAAAUUUUAGAUGGAAGAUUGUGGUUCAUGCUGCAGGCCUCCUGCUGGAACUGCAACCUGGAGGCCUUGGCCGAUUCCAGCGGUGACCAACAAAGAGAUCAUUGCCGGGUUACUCACCAGUUGACGGUUUGGCUCAGUUUUGACAGCUGCUAGUCCAGUGAAAGGGAUGGCAGAUCAGCACCUUUCUCAGCCCUACUGUUAAUGCUGAUUGUCACUGAGGUUGUGUAAGUGGGCGCCAUCAGGAAAGUGAGGGAGGCAGUCCUUAGAUGUCAGGGAGAGCCCAGGUGAAAAAGAGAACUGGCCCAUGUCACAUAGCUUUGCAAUGUGUAGGUGGUAAACUCCCUCCCUGCCAUUUUCCUAAUACUCCAACCUCCAAUUUAAUUGUCAGCGAAUGAUUGGCCAUGCAUUAACACACAGUCUUUAAUGGAAUAUUUCUUUUCCAAACAUUGGACUGUGCACUGCCGGUAAAUAUAUUGAAAAACUUGACUCUCUAACUCUGUUUGCAGUGUUAUUGCAUGUCCCACCUCCCCGCAUCGCCCAAAAAAAUCCAGACCAUUGUGCUUUGAGAACUUGUGUGAAAGUUGAAAUCCCUUCUUCCUUGCAACUCCCCCAGCUCCUCUUCCAGACUCAACUCCUGUCACUUGCAAACCACCUGUUAGAGCUUGGAAGGGAAAAACAAAUCUCGAUCUAUUGUAGUUACAUACAUCAGAAAUGUUGCCUGUUUAACAAAUCCAGUUGAAUAGGACUUGAAAACUUGAGAGGGCUUGUCAUCUGAAGAGUGGUUGAGGGUUUUGGUUCAGUUUAGGAUGGAGUUUAGAAGGAUGGGAGGGAAUUUUAUUGGCACUUACAGAAUACUGAGAGGCCUGGAAGGAUUGUACAUGGAACAGAGAAGAUGUUUCCACUAGGAGGAGAGAUUAGGACAUGCGGGCACAGUCGCGGAGUGAAGAGGCCAACCUUUAGAACUAAGGUAAGAAAGAAUUUCUUCAGACAGGGAGUGGUUAAUCUGAGGAAAACAUUGCAGGAAGCCGACGUCAUUCGGACUAUUUAAGAUAGAGAGAGAAAUGGGUUCUUGAUUAAUAAGGGGAUCAAGGGUUUCAGAAGAAGGCUGGCGAUUGGGCUUCAGAAACAUCACAGCCAGAAUUGAAUGGCAAAGCAGACUGAGGAGGUCGAAUGAGCUAAUUCUGCCCCUAUAUCUUAUGGUCUUAUGGAUUUGACACUAAAUAUUUCAAUGGUCCUUUUGUGAUGAAGCCACUUCUGGGUGCAAGUGCUUGUUUGAAAUGUCUUUAAUUUUUGCCUUAUAUAGUCAGGAAGGCAAAUGCAAUGUUGGCAUUUAUUGUGAAAAGAUAUGAAUCUAAAAACAGGGCUGUACCUCUGAGGCUUUAUAAGGCUCUGGUCUGGCCGUACUUGGAGUACUGCGUGCAGACUUGGGCCCAUAUCUCAGGAAGGAUGUCCUGUCCCUGGAACAUGUUCAGAGGAGGUUCACGAGAAUGGUCCAGGGAAUGGAAACCUUAAAAUAUGAGGAACGGUUGAUGACUCUGAGACUAUACUCAUUUGGAGUUUAGAAGGAUGAGGGGUGAUCGAAUUGAAACUUUCAGAACACUGAAUGGCCUCGACAGAAUGGUUGUUGGGAAGAUGCUUCCAUUGGUAGGAGAGACGAGGCCCCGAGGGCACAGCCUUAGAAUGAAGACAAGACCUUUUAAAUUGGAGAUUUGCAGAAACUUCUUCAGCCAGAGAGUUUUAAAUCUGUGAAAUUCACUGCCACAGAAUGCUGUGGAGGCCAGGAAAUUUAAAACUGAGACAGAUAGGUGCCUGAUUAUCAAGGGGAUCAAGGGCUAUGGGGAGAAAGCAGGAGAAUGGGGUUGAGGAACUUAUCAGCCAUGACUAAAUGGCAGAACAGACUCAAUGGGCCGAAUAGCCUAAUUUCUGCACCUAUGUCUUACGGUUUUGUGGUCUUAAAUAAUUGCAGGUCUAAAACCUUUGACAGCCCAAACUCUGAGAAAGAUGAAGAACCAGGUUCACCAAAAGAGACAGCAACAAUUUCAAAGUAAGUUUCAUCCUUCUGUGCUUCAUUCAUAAUACAUACCAUGAAAAGAAAUUGCUGUGAAUAUAGUAGCUCUUGAAAGAUUAUAUCGCCAUUCGAGACAAUAAAAAUCACAUUAAAGAAACAGCUUUAAUCCCUCCGAGGCCAUUGCCAGUAAUUAAAUCAAUGACACAUUUCAGCCUUUGAUCGAUAGAAAACAUUCAAAAAUGUUCAGUGAAAAUUUGAUUGGCCCUCAACAUCCAGACCUUGUGAUCUAACUUGCAACAAUGCUAAACUGCGAAACCUCCCACCCCCCCUCAAAUGCACCAGCCGAUGUAACUGGAGUGUCCUACAUAUUUUCUCUGAAAAUUUGGAAAGCAAACCAUCUAGUGUAGUCAUUCAUCUGGACUUUGACCAAAUGAGGACUUGAAAU